rnacentral:rRNA from 1 species
CGCGGCCUAUCAGCUUGUUGGUGGGGUAAUGGCCUACCAAGGCGACGACGGGUAGCCGGCCUGAGAGGGCGACCGGCCACACUGGGACUGAGACACGGCCCAGACUCCUACGGGAGGCAGCAGUGGGGAAUAUUGCACAAUGGGCGAAAGCCUGAUGCAGCGACGCCGCGUGAGGGAUGACGGCCUUCGGGUUGUAAACCUCUUUCAGCAGGGAAGAAGCGAAAGUGACGGUACCUGCAGAAGAAGCGCCGGCUAACUACGUGCCAGCAGCCGCGGUAAUACGUAGGGCGCAAGCGUUGUCCGGAAUUAUUGGGCGUAAAGAGCUCGUAGGCGGCUUGUUGCGUCGGUUGUGAAAGCCCGGGGCUUAACCCCGGGUCUGCAGUCGAUACGGGCAGGCUAGAGUGUGGUAGGGGAGAUCGGAAUUCCUGGUGUAGCGGUGAAAUGCGCAGAUAUCAGGAGGAACACCGGUGGCGAAGGCGGAUCUCUGGGCCAUUACUGACGCUGAGGAGCGAAAGCGUGGGGAGCGAACAGGAUUAGAUACCCUGGUAGUCCACGCCGUAAACGUUGGGAACUAGGUGUUGGCGACAUUCCACGUCGUCGGCGCCGCAGCUAACGCAUUAAGUUCCCCGCCUGGGGAGUACGGA